GUUAUCAUUUUUGACAUGAAAGCAGGAGUAUCUGUAUUAGGGGCGUAUAUGUUUAAGAUAGUAAUUGGUUGCCAAUAAAGUGACCCAGUUUUCUAAAUAAAUCUCCCUUCCGGAUCAGAUAUGUUUUUGUCAAUUAUGAAUGGAACAUGCUUAUGGAUAAGUAUGGCUGUACCUCUACUGUUUGAUUUGAAAGAUGAGAAAUACACCAGUCCCACCCAGGCUCUGCGGAUUUUGGCAUGUUCGGCAUCACAGAGGUGUGUCUCUAUUAAUAGCGUCUGCUUUUUUCCUUUUUUAGAGCAAAUAGUAUCUUUUUCCGUUAUAUUGCAUGACCUAGACCAUGGCAGUUCCAUGUCAAGAGAUUUAAGGUACUAGUCAUCGUCAUCGAACAUUAGUGCAAGUCAUCUCUGGGUAAAGGUGGAUAAUAGUUACAGCUGCGUUCACAUAAAAUAACAAUCUCUGAACAACUCGACACAUCCCGUUGGAUCUAUUACUCCCCCCGCUCAGUCUCAAUUCUGUUCCCCAAAAAAAGGGAACAGUUAGCAACGCACAACGUCUCCCCCACCCACCAAAGAAAUGCCUCAUCCUCUCCGCCCCGCAUUGAGUAAAUUACAACGUAGCCCCCGUCCAGACCACAUUAAAAGAGGGAGAAAAUAAAAUCUAUAGCCUAGCCUACAUAUACCUCCCCCAAGGGACAUAGUAAUAAUAGCACCAAAAAAGGGAAAUAAAAGUAGUCUGAAACGUUAGUAGGCCUAGGUCAGGCUAUAGAGCCUAUCCCUCUCAGCUAAAGGAAAAUAAAUAUAGAUUAGACGGCUAUAAUGAUAUUUAGCGGGGCGCGUGGGUCUUUGGAUGUCGGCUAUAUGUUGUCUUCCCUCCUUUAGUAAUAACAGUAAUCGCAUUUAGUCAUUGGUCCAUUUCUCAUUGACCAGGAUUGUCUUUCUAAAAACGUUUUGCCUCCUAGAGUUUUGAAGUGUCGCAGGGCUCCUUGGUGAAGAAUCCUGAAUCCCCUAAAGAUGCCUCGGUCAAUGGAGUAUUUCUUCACCCCGUCAAACUCUCGACGUAUUCCAGCUGACAGGUCCUGGUGUAAAGUGAGUUUGGCGUUUCCCACUGUCAUGGUGUUGAUUUUCGCCGCCUGUAGGACUCGUUCCUUGUCGGCGAAUUUCAGGAAACGUAUGGUGAUUGGGCGCGGUGGUUGUCUGGCUGCUGGUGGGGUUCUCAGUGCUCGGUGAGCUCUCUCGAGUUCUAUGGGCCUGUCGGUGGACAGGUGGAGCCAUUCGGGGAGUUUGUCUUGUAGGUAGCGGAUCAUUGGCAUGUUUCUCUUCUUUUUCAGCCUGGUUUAAUAGAGCUCUGUUAUUCCUUCGCCCGCUGUUUUCCAGGUCCUCUGUUUUCUCUUCCAGAUGCUCUAUUUUGUUUUUAGCAUAUGCUAUUGUUUCCAUGGUGUCUGUCAGUAAGUUUUCCAUGGAUGGGAUUCGCCCUGCCUCGUCCAGGCGCCCCACGUUGAUGGUUCUUGUUGUUGAUGUCAGGCAAAGCAUUUUCCAGGAUUGUCACGUUGCACCCUAUCGCACUGAGCUGAGCGUUAAUGGCAUCUAAUUUAAUGUUGAGUUCUGUACGUUGGGAUCUCAGUUCAGAAAGGAUGUCUUCGACAGAGUGCGAGGUUGGGCCUUGUGGGGGAACGGGUCCUCUUGCUCCUGGCUAAUUGCGCUAGCUUUUUCUCAUAGUAGAGGCUUGGGUGUGGUUUAGACUUACUCCAGCCUAUCGUUGGCGUGCAGCCUGUAGACGCAUCUUUGUUGCCAAGCAUAGUUGUCUUCUAGCUUAUCUUCGUGUGUGUACCCGAGAGUCAGACACCCAAGGACAGUGCCUGUUCUUAUGCCACAGCCAUUCUCCCCUCUAUCAGUUCCUCACAUACACCUGUCCUUGAGCGGCCCCACAACCAGGCAUUGUGUGUGUGUGUGUGUGUGUGUGUGUGUGUCACGAGUCUACUCAGCCUACACUCCAGUAACCCUCCAGUUAGUCACACAUUAUUAUAUGUAGCUCAAUCCAUGUUAGUACAAUACAAACCUGUUAUGUUUAACAUGAAUUUACUCAUAACCUAUGCAUCACAUUAAGUUUAAGAAAAUAUAACCCAACAAUACAAGGUGACUUAUCAAUAUUUACAGUGCUUCGGAAAGUAUUCAGACCCCUUGACUUGUUUGACAUUUUGUUACGUUACAGCCUUCUACAAUUGAUUACAUUGGUCCUCUCAUCAAUCUACACACAAUAGCAAACAACGUCAAAGCAAAAGCAGGUUUAGUAUAAGAGCACAAAGCGAGACCCAGAUGCAGACAGGGGAGGCAGAUGGUUUGUCUUGAUAUUUAUUAAACAAUCCUAAAGGGCUAGGCAAGAGUGGUCGUGGAAAGGCAAAAUGUCAACCAGUUCAGAGUCCAGGAGGUACAGAGUGGCAGGCAGGCUUGAGGUCAGGGCAAGCAGAAUGGUCAGGCAGGCAGGUAUGGAGUCCAGAAAACAGGCAAGGGUAAAAAAAAACGUGAGGACUAGCAAAAGAGAAUAGGAGCAGGAGUAAGGGAAACGCUGGUUGCCUUUAAAAGCAUACAAGACGAACUGGCACAGAGGCUAGGGAUAAUAAGCGACACCUGGUGGGGGUGGAGACCAUCACAGGAAAGGUGAAACAGAUCAGGGUGUGACAUUUAAAUGAAUUCCAAUUUAUUAAAUCAAAAUUUGAUCACUUACAUAGGUAACAGACCCUUUACUCAGUACUUUGUUGAAACACCUUUGGCAACGAUUACAGCCUUGGGUCUGAUGCUACAAGCUUGCCACACUUGUAUUUGGGGAGGUUCUCCCAUUCUUCUCCGUAGAUCCUCUCAAGCUCUGUCAGGUUCGAUGGAGAGCGUUGCUGCACUGCUAUUUUCAGGUCUCUCCAGAGAUGUUCGAUUGGGUUCAAGUCACAGUUCUGGCUGGCCCACUCAAGGAAAUUCAGAGACUUGUCCUGAAGUGUCAAUACAGGACUAAGAUUGAAUCCUACUUCAUCGGCUCUGAUGCUUGUUGGAUGUGAAAGGGCUUGGAAAAUAUUCAUGACUACAAAGGGAAACCCAGCCACGAGCUGGCCGGUGACAAGAACCUACCAAAUGAGCUAAAAGCCUUUUAUGCUUGCUUCGAGCAACGCAACACUGAAGCAUGCACGAGAGCACCAGCUGUUCUGGAUGAAUGUGGGAUCACGCUCUCCAUAGCCGAUGUGCGCAAGACUUUUAAACAGGUAAACAUUCCCACAGCCGCGGGCCCAGACUGAUUACCAGGCAAGUGUCUUCACUGACAUUUUCAACCUCUCCCUGAUCGAGUCUGUAAUACCUACAUCUUUCAAACAGACAACCAUAGUCCCUGUGCCCAAGAAAGCAAAGGUAACCUGCCUAAAUGAUUAGUGCCCCGUAGCACUCACAUUGGUAGCCAUGAAGUCCUUUGAAAGGCUGGUAGGGGCUGACAUCAAGCAAUCAUGCCGGAAACCCUAGACCCACACCAAUUGGCAUACUGGCCCAACAGAUCCACAGAUGAUGGAAUCUCCAUUGCGCUCCACACUACCCUCUCACCUGGACAAAAGGAUCCCCUCUGUGAGAAUGCUGCUCAUUGACUACAACUCAGCGUUCAACACCAUAGUGCCAACAAAGCUGAUCACUAAGCAAAGGACCCUGGUACUAAACACCUCCCUCUGGAACUGGAUUCUGGACUUCCUGACGGGCCACCCCCAGCUGGUAAGGAUAGUUAACACAUCCGGCACGCUUAUCCUCAACACGGGGGCCCCUCAAGGGUGUGUGCUCAGUCCCCUCCUGUACUCUGUUCACUCAAUUCUGCACAGCCAGGCACGACUCCAACACCAUCAUUAUGUUUGCUGAUGACAACAGUGGUAGGCCUGAUCACCGGCAAUGAUGAGACAGCCUAUAGGGAGGAGGUCAGAGACCUGACCGUGUGGGGCGAAGACAACAACCUCUCCCUCAACAUGACCAACACAAAGGAGGUGAUUGUUGUCUACAGGAAAAGGAUGACCGAACAUGCUCCCAUUCUCAUCGAUGGGGCUGUAGUGGAGCAGGUUGAGAGCUUCAAGUUCCUUGGUGUCCACAUCGCCAACAAACGAACAUGGUCCAAGCACACCAAGACAGUUGUGAAGAGGGUGCGACAAAACAUAUUCCCACUCAGGAGACAGAAAAGAUUUGGAAUGGAUACUCAGAUCCUCAAAAGGAUUUACAGCUGUACCGUCGAGAGCAUCCUGACAGGUUGCAUCACCUCCUGGUAUGGCAACUGCUCGGCAUCCGACCGACCUGAGCCCUAGGACCACGUCUCAGGACUACCUGGCCUGAUCACUCCUUGCUGUCCCCAGUCCACCUGGUCAUGCUGCUGCUCCAGUUUCAACUGUUCUGCCUGCGGCAACGGAACCCUGACCUGUUCACCGGACAUGCUACCUUGUCCCAGACCUGACAUUUACUCCUGAGAUGCUGACCUGUUGCACCCUCUUGAACCACUGUGAUUAUAAUUAUUUGAGCCUGCUGGUCAUCUAUGAACGUUUGCCCAUGUUCUGUUAUAAUCUCCACCCGGCACAGCCAGAAGAGGACUGGAUACCCCUCAGAGCCUGGUUCCUCUCUAGGUUUCUUCCUAGGUUCCUGCCUUUCUAGGGAGUUUUUCCUAGCCACCGUGCAUCUGUAUUGCUUGCUGUUUGGGGUAUUAGGCUGGGUUUCUGUACAGCACUUUGUGACAUCGGCUGAUGUUGAAAGGACUUAAUGAAUAAAAUUUGAUUGCGUACGGCCGAGUACAUCAUUGACUAGAAGCUUACUGCCAUCCAGGAUCUACUGUAUAUACUAGGCGGUGUCAGAGGAAGGGCAAAAAAAAUGGUCUAAGACUCCAGUCACAUUGUAAAGUAUGUCAUUUCAAUAGUGUUGUGAUAUCAGAUUAUGUCAUGGAGUAACAAACUUUAAGAUGGAUUUGAUACAAAAUAUCUCUGCAAAAGGCAACUUUUACCUGGGGGCAUGCUUUGUAGACCCUUCAAAGGCAUUCCGAUACCUGGUCCCCAAGAAAAAACCCACAUGGUAUGAUAGCUUAUAGACAGUAGUAGGCAAAUGAAGGGAAAAAGUUACAAUAUUAAGAUGAUGGUAUAACAUUUCUAGGGUCUAUUUGCUGGUAAUUGGAAACAGGUCCCUUUGGAAUUUCGUCCCCCAUUCCUAAACACAUCCAUCCUAUAGUGUAGGUUUUGAAGAUUCAUAAUCUCUGAUUGUAGUCAUCAGAAGAAGAUUGAGGAACGGUUGAUAGGUUCAAGAAGUACAAGCCCCCACACCGUUCUCCAACCUCUGAAAUGUUGUCUUUGAUGCGUGCAUUUUGAAGGACCCCUUAACUUUUUGACUCUGUCUGUACGGUGGAGUAGUGGUUAUGGUGGUUGCUCCCCAAACCAGAGUUUGGGAGUUCAAAUCCAAGAAGAGUGUUUUUUAGAGAGCCAUUUUUGAUGUUGCCUUUUGUUGGCAUGAAAGAGCUAACUGGAGGUGUGUAGGGCGGUAGGGACUAGUUCCCAUGAAAUAAAAGGAAUGAAGUGACA
rnacentral:lncRNA from 1 species